rnacentral:rRNA from 1 species
UACCAGCACCCCGAGUGGUCGGGACGUUUUAUUGGGCCUAAAGCAUCCGUAGCCGGUUCUACAAGUCUUCCGUUAAAUCCAACUGCUUAACAGAUGGGCUGCGGAAGAUACUAUGGAGCUAGGAGGCGGGAGAGGCAAGCGGUACUCGAUGGGUAGGGGUAAAAUCCGUUGAUCCAUUGAAGACCACCAGUGGCGAAGGCGGCUUGCCAGAACGCGCUCGACGGUGAGGGAUGAAAGCUGGGGGAGCAAACCGG